rnacentral:lncRNA from 1 species
UUGGAGAUGUUUGUGUGUGGGGAUGCUGAGAUGUAGCUGCCACCGUGAAUCAGUGAGGAGCUUGGACUGUGGAAGAGCAGAGAGAAGCUUGGACUUCAGGGGAGCAGAGAAGAGACAAGAAUGCAGAGGAAAAUAAAAGAGAUUGGACUGCGAGUCUGCGACCACCGAGGAGACGACCGGAGACUGGACUGCUAUACUGCCUUGCACCACCAGAGAGGAGAUGAACGGAGAGGACACCACACCUUGCACUACCGGAGAAGAAAGAGGAGGUGAGAUUCGUAGAGUUGAAAAAGAGAUGAGGAGGUGAGAUUCGUAGAAGGGAAAGAAAAGAUGAGGAAGGGGGAUGAAGAUCUCAGAUCUGAGAAAGAAAGAUAAAAAGGGAUAAAUAAAAAAAAAUGUGUUUCAUCCGUUAGAUUAAACUACUCUCAACGGCUACGAUUAGAAAAGAAGUUAUCCUCGCCCUUUUACAUCGACCACUAACAAUCCACCUUCUUAUUUUAUUUUAAAAUCUUGGUCAGAGAGACGCGGGGAAGGAGGGAUAAUUUG